rnacentral:rRNA from 1 species
AACGAACGCUGGCGGCAUGCCUAACACAUGCAAGUCGAACGAGACCUUCGGGUCUUGUGGCGCCCGGGUGCGUCACGCGUGGGAACCUUCCCUUAUGUUCGGAAUACCUCCCCGAAAGGGGUGCUAAUACCGGAUCAUGUCUUCUGACCAAAGAUUUAUCGCCUUUGGAUGGGCCCGCGUUGGAUUAGCUAGUUGGUAGGGUAAAAGCCUACCAAGGCGACGAUCCAUAGCUGGUCUGAGAGGAUGAUCAGCCACACUGGGACUGAGACACGGCCGAGACUCCUACGGGAGGGAGCAGUGGGGAAUAGUGGACAAUGGGCGAAAGCCUGAUCCAGCAAUGACGGGUGAGGGAUGAAGGCCGGAGGGUUGUAAAGCGCUUUUAACCGGGAUGAUAAUGACAGUACCGGGAGAAUAAGCUCCGGCUAACUCCGUG